rnacentral:rRNA from 1 species
CCUACGGGAGGCAGCAGUAGGGAAUCUUCCACAAUGGGCGAAAGCCUGAUGGAGCAACGCCGCGUGGGUGAAGAAGGUCUUCGGAUCGUAAAACCCUGUUGUUAGAGAAGAAAGUGCGUGAGAGUAACUGUUCACGUUUCGACGGUAUCUAACCAGAAAGCCACGGCUAACUACGUGACAGCAGCUGCGGUAAUACGUAGGUGGCAAGCGUUAUCCGGAUUUAUUGGGCGUAAAGGGAACGCAGGCGGUCUUUUAAGUCUGAUGUGAAAGCCUUCGGCUUAACCGGGGUAGUGCAUUGGAAACUGGGAGACUUGAGUGCAGAAGAGGAGGGUGGAACUCCAUGUGUAGCGGUGAAAUGCGUAGAUAUAUGGAAGAACACCAGUGGCGAAGGCGGCUCUCUGGUCUGUAACUGACGCUGAGGUUCGAAAGCGUGGGUAGCAAACAGGAUUAGAUACCCUGGUAGUC